CAAAGUUCUUAAAUAUUGUUUCAAAGCUAAUGUUUAUUCCCUCCUAAUUCACCCCUCAAAAAAAAAAAUAAAAAAAAUUCAACUUUCAUUUAAUGUCUUUUUUUCUUUUACUUAACAUUUGAAAUUUUUAACUUAAAUCUAUGUCCUUUAUUCAUUUAAAUUGACUUUGGAAUCACCAAACGAAAAGCUUGUUUAUUAAAAAGAGCUGAUCUUAAUGGUUUUUACUAAUGUUAAACAAACAUUGAUAUUGACCACAAUUUAUAUGUUAACAAAGACAUUACAAUCAAAGGUUACAAAUGUAAUUGUUUUAAUUCAUCCACACUUUCACAUUAAGCUCAUGUUGAAAUAGUGAAACAAUAAAUUAACACAACAUUCAAAGUGGGUAGACCAAAGAAGCCUAAUCAAUGAAACAUUUAGAAAGUUCUAUCUUUGUUAAUUAAGGCUGUUACACAAACUAAAUGUAGAGCUAUGUACGACUGAUGAUUUAAAAAGGCCGACCCUUAUAGAUGCAUAGACAUCAUUUUGUGAAGAAAAAAAUGUGUGACAACUUUCUUAAUGUCAAUCUAUUUACACUAAACUCUAGGACAACAGCAAAAUAAUUUAAAACAUUCGUAGCAUUAAAAACAUUUCAAUCAUUCAUUAAAAAAAAAAAAACAAAAAAAAAAACACCACACAAACAUUUUUUUUUAGAAUGAUACUACAAGUUUCCACAAGUAAUGAAGGAAUGUUUUAAAUUUGACAAUUGACUCUUUCAAGGUUUAGUAAGGAUCUCUUAAAAAAAAAAACAACUACUUUUUUAAAAUAAUAGGACUGGACAUUUUGUAGGUUAUAAAAUUUUGUAAAAAUAAAAAUGUAUAUUGUAAGAGACAGAGAACUACACAAUCAUCUACACAGCUAGAACACACACUGAACUACUAGAAUCACAUUGAUUUCAAUGGCUAAGGUCAAUUGGUUAUUCACAUUGUUAGGCUCCAUACACCCAUUCAAGAGUAUAUCACAACUUUAAAAAAAAAAAAAAGGCUUUAAACCAAAGCCAAAGUUAAAUUAUUAUUUUUUUUUGACAAAGACUUUUCUCUCUACAUCUGGAAAACAAGAUGGAAAGUUAUCUAGAAAAUGGGCUAAAGAAAAGGGCUAGGAAGAUACUAAUUAAAGAAAAAAAAAAAGAUAAUCUUGAAGUUAAGUAAUGAUGAUAGUAUCUCUACCACUGUCUUUGCUAUGGUACUGCAUACUAUUAAAAUGCAGUGGUUAAAAAGAAAAAAGGUUGUUCAAACCGUUUUAUUAAAGGUUUUUAUUUUAAAGAAAACACACAUUAUUUAAUUUGGAACACCAGCAAAUUGGGGUAUAUUUGAAAUAACUUUUCUUAAAAAACAGGCUUAAAUAAGAACAUCAAUUAUUUAUGUAGAUAGAAACUUGAAGCUUUUAGUUUCAACUGUCUGUAACAGCAAGGGGGGGGGGGGGGGGG